rnacentral:tRNA from 1 species
GGUAGGUUGGCCGAGUCCGGUUGAAGGCGCACGACUCGAAAUCGUGUAGGCGGGUUAAACCGUCUCGUGGGUUCGAAUCCCACACCUACCGCCA